AAAGUCAAAAGUACUUCAAAGGGUUCUCCUGGUGUCUGUGCAGCAGCGACUUACUGAACAUGGCUUCGAGUCGCACCAGACAGCUGAUGAAGCUGUCGAAGUCGAUGUUCAUGUUCUCGUUGGCGUAGCGCAUGGUGAUGAUGUCGUACAGCUGGUUGUUGAGACGGAAGCCUGAGCGGGACACAAGACACAUGACUGUACAGUGAAGAGAUCAUUAGGGGGAUGUCUGAACUCCUGCAGGUUGAGUCUUCCUGUCCCGUCCAUCUGCACACAGCAGGUUAAGCCCAAAAAACCAAGGUUAAGUGAGGCCCUGAGCGUGCAGCAGACCAGCAGCCCGAUGCUCUCGAUACAAAGGAUACGUCCAUCAGAGCAAUCAUGCUCCUGCAGCUCUCCAGACUGAAGCCCUCCGUGUUCAGGUCCUUAUCUGCAACACAAAAUACAACAAAACAUGAUUUAUCUGCAGGAAAAUGUAUAAAAACAUGAUUUAUCUGCAGGAAAAUGUAUAAAAACAUGAUUUAUCUGCAGGAAAAUGUAUAAAAACAUGAUUUAUCUGCAGGAAAAUGUAUAAAAACAUGAUUUAUCUGCAGGAAAAUGUAUAGAAACAUGAUAUAU